rnacentral:lncRNA from 1 species
UGCAGAACUGACCUAUCUACUUCAACGGGAGGCUAGCACCGGCCACACAGAUUUCCUCCACAAAAGCCGCUCCGCCCCCAUAGUCAGCUUUCCAUUCAAAUGGCUGGCUAAUUUGCCGAUUUGAUAUCAACCAAAAAAGAAAAAAUACCAAAACGAUCAGAGUCGGAUUGGAAUUAUACCGACAUGGCCACGGCCAGUUGAGAGAUAUUCGACUUGCCACCGUUUAUCAGAUAAUACAA